GGACUGCAGUUCUUGCCGAGCAGCAUAGCAGGUUUCGGUUUAUGAAAGACAGAGAAUAUGCAGCUCUCUCAGACACCUAAAUAUGAAGUGGCUUUCCACAGAUCUCUUUUCGAAGGUCGCAAUGAUUUGUAUGACAGCUGCUAGCCCAAGAGAGAGUUCCAGAAGAGGGCUACCUAACAGGUGCUGUGGCAUUUAGAAGAGGAAUGGAGCCAUUGUCAACGCACAGCUUGCAGGGGAGCAGGAGAGUCAGUCUAAGAAGGAAAUGUGAUGAUGGAAACAGAGGUUGGAAGAUGGAAGAGGACCCAGAGUCAAGGAAUGCAGGUAGAAAAGAAAAGCCUGGAUUCUCCCCUAAAGCCUCCAGAUGGAACACAGCCCUGCCUCCACCUUGAUUUCAGGACUUCUUACCCCAAGAAUCGUAAGCUAAUACAUUUGUUUUUGUUUUUGUUUUUGUUUUCUUUGAGAUGGAGUCUUGCUCUGCUGCCCAGGCUGGAGUGCAGUGGACUGAUCUUGGCUCACUGCAGCGUCCAUCUUCCGGGUUCAAGCGAUUCUCCUGCUUCAGCCUCUCAAGUAGCUGGGAUUACAGGCGCCCACCACACCCGGCUAAUUUUUUUUUUUUUUAAUACUUUAAGUUUUAGGUUACAUGUGCACAACGUGCAGGUUUGUUACAUAUGUAUACAUGUGCCAUGUUGGUGUGCUGCACCCAUUAACUCGUCAUUUAGCAUUAGGUAUCU
rnacentral:lncRNA from 1 species